rnacentral:tRNA from 1 species
GGAGUAGUAGCUCAGUGGUAGACCACUUGCCUAGCAUGCAGGAGGCACCAGCACCAGGUUAGAUCCUCAGCACCA